GAUGAACGCUGGCGGCGUGCCUAAUACAUGCAAGUCGAACGAAGAUCUAGCUUGCUAGAUCUUGGUGGCGAACGGGUGAGUAAUACAUAAAUGAUCUGCCCAUAUGACUGGGAUAACUAUUGGAAACGAUAGCUAAUACCGGAUAGGUUGAUCGGAGGCAUCUCUGAUGAAUUAAAGUAGGAUUUCUACACAAAUGGAUGAGUUUAUGGGGCGUUAGUUAGUUGGUGGGGUAACGGCCUACCAAGACGAUGAUGCGUAGCCGACCUGAGAGGGUGACCGGCCACACUGGGACUGAGACACGGCCCAGACUCCUACGGGAGGCAGCAGUAGGGAAUUUUCGGCAAUGGGCGCAAGCCUGACCGAGCAACGCCGCGUGAGUGAUUAAGGCCUUCGGGUUGUAAAGCUCUGUUGUAAGGGAAGAACAUUCAGGAUAGGAAAUGAUCUUGAACUGACGGUACCUUACCAGAAAGCCACGGCUAACUACGUGCCAGCAGCCGCCGCAG
rnacentral:rRNA from 1 species